rnacentral:rRNA from 1 species
GACGAACGCUGGCGGCGUGCCUAAUACAUGCAAGUUGAGCGCUGAAGGUUGGUACUUGUACCAACUGGAUGAGCAGCGAACGGGUGAGUAACGCGUGGGGAAUCUGCCUUUGAGCGGGGGACAACAUUUGGAAACGAAUGCUAAUACCGCAUAAAAACUUUAAACACAAGUUUUAAGUUUGAAAGAUGCAAUUGCAUCACUCAAAGAUGAUCCCGCGUUGUAUUAGCUAGUUGGUGAGGUAAAGGCUCACCAAGGCGAUGAUACAUAGCCGACCUGAGAGGGUGAUCGGCCACAUUGGGACUGAGACACGGCCCAAACUCCUACGGGAGGCAGCAGUAGGGAAUCUUCGGCAAUGGACGAAAGUCUGACCGAGCAACGCCGCGUGAGUGAAGAAGGUUUUCGGAUCGUAAAACUCUGUUGGUAGGGAAGAACGUUGGUGAGAGUGGAAAGCUCAUCAAGUGACGGUAACUACCCAGAAAGGGACGGCCAACUACGUG